GGUGUUACAGGGUCGUCUGUGGAUGUUGUGUGCGCGGGUGUCAAGGGGAACGAGAAAGAAGAGGUAGAGAAGGUGCCCUCCUAGUGAUGACGACCCCCUCUCCAGUCAACUAGCGGCGAGUGUGGAGUGUCGAAGAAGGAGAAUGAGAGAGAGAGAGAGAGAGAAAGAGAAAGAGAAAGAGAAAGAAAGAGACAGUGUGCACGAGUGAGGUAGAGGGAGAAGGUUUAGGUGUCUAGGAGAGGAGCAAAGGAUAGAGAGAGAGAGAGAGAGAGAGAGAGAGCGAGUUAGCGUUGUGGAGGGACACGAGAGGAGAGGUGGCACGACAGGGACAAACGAGCCACGACCGAGAAAACGACGCAGGAGCGCGCAGGUGCGCUUUCCUCGCGCGAUACGUUGUUGUUUUACGAGACAACGGGAGAAGCCGACCGCGCGCGCGAGAUACUUGAAGGCGCGUUUACAUUGCGAGUCAGCCUGCGUGAUCACAAAUAUCUCGUCCUUUUGUUUCCCUUUCCCUUUGUUCGUUCGGAUUCCUUAUCACUUUUCUUUUCUCUUUCUUUCUUUCUUUCUUUCUUUUUUUAACCCUACGUAUACUGUCUACCUCGUUUUUCAGUUUGACUCGUGUGUACUCUGUCUUUCUUUCGACUCGAUCGUAGUAACGCGUUUUCCCCGACUGGUAUACUUUUGGUAUCGCGUGGUGAUGUGCCGUAGACGUUAUUACUCUCGGCGUUUAAUGUGUUGAUCGCUGUCGUUGUCGCAUCACGGGGUGGUGUCGCGAGAGAGAGCGAGAUCAUAUCACGAUAGCGUGUCAGUUUUCGCGUUACGUUGCGUAUGCACCUCUCUUUAGUCCGCUUCCCGUCGUAGCCGCGGUGUGUUGCGUGUGCCCGCUGCGCGCUGUUGUGGUCGCCGUGGCUGGUGUGUCUCGUGUGUCCCGUGUGUCCCGUUGCUGCACCGGUCGAGCACAGUAACGAUGACGAAAGUGUGAACUCUCUGCAGCGGGUAGAGUGGUGAUCUGCCUACGUAUCCUUCGGAGGAUUGCUGAUGAGGUUACAGGGUGACGCAAACAAUCUACACGGUUUCGAGAUCGAUCAGCACAUGUAUCUACUGAUGAAAAAAUUAGCGUUCUAACUGCGCCAGCACACGUCGCAAUUAUUGAUCUAGGAAAUGUUUGAAUAUUAAAUGUAUAUAUAUAUAUUCUUUUUUAUAUAUUGGAUAGUGUUUACCACUUGUCAAUUCAAAAUGAUUUAAAUAUGAUCAAACUUAAUAUGAUCAACCUUAGAGGUCAUUAAUGAACUGCACGGAAAAAAAUGUACAUUGUAAUAAUUGAGAUAAAGGUGAAAAGUUAUUCUGUUCUUCGGCUGAUUCGUCACUAUUAUUCAUACUUUCCAGCUCAUUAAUCAUUACUUAAGCAUUGUUACUGCCACUACGAUGUUCAGAUACAUGCUGAUCAAUAAACGUAUUUUUCCA